rnacentral:rRNA from 1 species
UACGGAGGUUGCGAGCGUUGUUCGGAAUAACUGGGCGUAAAGGGAGCGCAGGCGGUUGGGUAAGUCUAAAGUGAAAGCCCGGGGCUCAACUCCGGAAGUGCUUUGGAUACUACCUCACUCGAGUUCGUGAGAGGAAAGCGGAAUUCCAGGUGUAGCGGUGAAAUGCGUAGAUAUCUGGAGGAACACCGGUGGCGAAAGCGGCUUUCUGGCACGAUACUGACGCUGAGGCUCGAAAGCGUGGGGAGCAAACAGG